UUCAAAGUGUAUGGUUACUAGCAAGUUUCAUGAAUUUGUUAUU
rnacentral:tRNA from 2 species